rnacentral:rRNA from 1 species
CCUACGGGCGGCAGCAGUGGGGAAUAUUGCACAAUGGGGGAAACCCUGAUGCAGCGACGCCGCGUGAGUGAAGAAGUAAUUCGUUAUGUAAAGCUCUAUCAGCAGGGAAGAAAAUGACGGUACCUGAGUAAGAAGCCCCGGCUAACUACGUGCCCGCAGCCGCGGUAAUACGUAGGGGGCAAGCGUUAUCCGGAUUUACUGGGUGUAAAGGGAGCGUAGACGGCAGUGCAAGUCUGGAGUGAAAGGCGGGGGCUCAACACCCGGACUGCUCUGGAAACUGUACGGCUGGCGUGCAGGAGAGGUAAGUGGAAUUCCUAGUGUAGCGGUGAAAUGCGGAGAUAUUAGGAGGAACACCAGUGGCGAAGGCGGCUUACGGGACUGUAACUGACGUUGAGGCUCGAAAGCGUGGGGAGCAAACAGGAUUAGAUACCCCUGUAGUC